GCCCGUUGACACGAUGGAUGGGGAAAUUGUUGCCAUGAAAACAUGGCGAGACUACACGGACACACCUAGUGCCCAAAUGGACGAUUUAAGAAGUGCAGCUGAGAGUCGCGUGUGGAGACGAAUGGAUUGGGUUCAGGUUGUCAGUCCUUAUAAACCCUUCCAAAUUAGUUUAUGCUGGCUAGCUGGCAACAACAGCAGCAUGGCGCUAGUUACAACUUGAAAAUUGUGUUUGGUUUACCAUUCCACUUGAACACACUGACUCUACAUUACCAAGAAAAGAGACACAGCACUGCUCUACUCUGUCCAGUGUCCACGACUGCCAUCAUCAUGUCCAAGCUCAUCUGUGUGACUCUCUUACUGGUCUUUCUGGUCUCCAUUUGGUGCCACAACACAGUCUCUUCUACCAAAUGGUCUGUGAGGGACGUGCGUAAGUGCCGGUGCAAAGUUCUUCCCAAUGGGAGAGAGAUCUGCCGCAAGCCACUCUUUCCCAAAAGCCCUGAGGAGACAAAGCAACUGAUUAAAUGCUUUUGCAGGAAAUAUAACUUGUAUAAACUCAGUGCAAAGCUGAACUUGGAGACAAAGCGGGACUUGGAGAAAUGUUCUUUUAUCUGGUCCAACCCCUUCUGAGGAUGAGAGGGCAAGGGGGUGAACAAAUUAUUUUAAAUCAUUGUUACACCAGCAUAAUCAGUCUUUUAAACAUGUCAAUCAAAUAAAUAAAUGAUUUUUCUAUAUAAUCAAUUCACGUUGUCACGUCCUGACCAUGGUAAGCUGUUAUUUUCUAUGGUAGAAUAGGUCGGGGCGUGACAGGGGGGUUUAUUCUAUGUGUUCUAUUUCUAUGUUCUUAGGUUCUAGUUUUUGUAUUUCUAUGUUGGUUUGUUUGGGAUGAUCUCCAAUUACAGGCAGCUGGUCCUCGUUGUCUCUAAUUGGAGAUCGUACUUAAGUAGGGGUUUUUCUUCCUGGGUUUUGUGGGUGAUUAUUUUUGAGUAGUGUUUGUUUCACCUCUGCGUCACGGUUUGUUGUUUUGUUUAUUCAGUUUAUUUAUGUAUUGCAUAGUUUCACAGAGUAAAUAAAAUGUGGAACGACACACGCGCUGCACCUUGGUCCUCUUCUCCUUAUGACAACUGUGACAGAUGUUGUGUUUUUAUUCAUUUUUGUCUAUGUGUGUUGCGUGAUAGUCAUAGUGUGAAAAUAUAAUCACAACUUAUUCAAUCAUAUUUUGCAUGCAGAGCCCCUAUACCUAACAGGUGAGUGCUUACAGUAGGUUUCACAGUGGCGGGUUGUCCCUGCCCUUUUUAUACCUGCCGUUAACAUGCGUCCCUCAUGAAACUGGUUGAGAGAAUGCCAAGAGUGUGCAAAGGGUGGCUACUUUGAAGAAUCUCAAAUAUAAGAUAUAUUUUGAUUUGUUUAACACUUUUUUGGUUACUACAUGAUUCCAUAUGUGUUAUUUUAUAGUUUUUAUUUUGCAAUGUAGAAAAUAGUACAAAUAAAGAAAAACCCUUGAAUAAGUAGGUGUCCAAACUUCUGACUGGUACUGUGCAUAAAUUCCAUAUAUCAUAUGAUACUGUACUUACUAUAAAGUCACCUUUGGUCAUUCAUAACACAUACAUAAAGGCUUAAUGAUGUAAAUAUACAUGUAUUAAUACUUAGGGAAUUAUUACUAACAGCUAAAACAAAAAAACAUUAAAGACAUGUUUUAAACAUA
rnacentral:lncRNA from 1 species